rnacentral:lncRNA from 1 species
AUGGCUCCUCCGGAGCUGCUGCCGGGUAGACAGCGGGGGGGGGUUUUUUUUUUUUUUUUUUUCAAUGUCCGCAUUCCAGCUAAUGUUGCGCAGAUAAAAUUCAAACUUGAGGUAAACAGAGGAGGAGGAGGAGGACGAGGAGGAGGGGAGGGAGCGGCGGAAAAAAAAGGCUGUUUCCAUUUCGAGAUCCCACCUCUUCACUCCGCGGAGACCGACAUCCCGAACCUAGAGACAACUCUCGCCUUUUUCCCACGUCGCCCACCUUUGCUGUCAACAGGAAACCAGGGCAGGGGGCGCACUUCUGGGAAAGGACGCGGGGUCGGGGCGCUCACGGAAGGCAGCCCCUCAGAACCCAGACGUCAGACUCCGGAGGGACGCUGGAUGCCCGGGAGUUACUUUUUGGGGUUAGAAGAAUUGGGAUGUUUUGCCAUUUGGGCGUUUCUCUGCCUCACAGAACAAUCUCAGAGCUACCUGUUUUAGGGAAAUGAUUACAAUAACCUGGAAGCUGAGUAAGUAGAUGUUUUAGUACUUUAAAAAAGUAAUGUGUUGGAACUUUAGUUUUAAAAUAUUAUGUACUUUAAUUGGGUUCUUUAGAUUUUGUUAAUAAUAGUGACAAUUAUUAUGAUAAUUCUAAUAACUAUUUGUAAAU